CCUACGGGAGGCAGCAGUGAGGAAUAUUGGUCAAUGGACGAGAGUCUGAACCAGCCAAGUAGCGUGAAGGACGACUGCCCUACGGGUUGUAAACCUCUUUUAUCUGGGAAUAAACUGUUCCACGCGUGGGAUCUUGUAUGUACCCUAUGAAUAAGCAUCGGCUAACUCCGUGCCAGCAGCCGCGGUAAUACGGAGGAUGCGAGCGUUAUCCGGAUUUAUUGGGUUUAAAGGGAGCGUAGGUGGGUUGUUAAGUCAGUUGUGAAAGUAUGCGGCUCAACCGUCAAAUUGCAGUUGAAACUGGCAGUCUUGAGUACAGUAGAGGUGGGCGGAAUGCGUGGUGUAGCGGUGAAAUGCUUAGAUAUCACGAAGAACUCCGAUUGUGAAGGCAGUGCACUGGACUGCAACUGACACUGAGGCACGAAAGUGUGGGUAUCAAACAGGAUUAGAUACCCUUGUAGUC
rnacentral:rRNA from 1 species